GGAAUAUUUAUUUAAUGAGGAAUGUCGUUCAUUAAUCGGUAUAUUCACAGGUUUUGCAUCACACAGGACCUCUCGACACACACCCAGCCACACGCACACACAAACACACACACACACACACAGCAAGGGUCAUGUGCGUGUACGUGUGUGUGUGUGUGGCCGGCGUUGUGAUAUUAUUGCCACUACUGACACACCUUAACAUUAGUCAACAAUAUUUACACUUCCAAAGACGAGCCACUGGUGCAGAGCCUAGCGAUCAACCGUGUGUGUGUGUGUGUGUGUGUGUGUGUGUGUGUGUUGGUGCGUGGCUCAACGAAGGAUAGAUUUAUUUCAAGCUGUUGUUCGUGUCUCACAUUUCACACCACAACACCACCACCACCACCACCACCACUUGUCACCACCGCCACCACCAUCACCGUAACACCAAAUUCGUAUACACAUAUAAAAUAUAAAGCAUUCGUAUCAUUAGUCAACCAAUUACGUGCAUCGCUCAAAUGGGCAUAAAAAAAUACGAUAUAUAUAAAUAGAUUCUCUUUAUAGGCUAAUUCUGGGGCUCUGAGGAAAGCAUAUGACGAUAGGAAGGAACUGAGGUUAGACUAAGCUCGCACCAGUGGCUCAGUUCACCUGCGCAGGCCCCCCAGUGCAGCCUAGGGUAGGACAGCACCAGGAGCAGGACAACAUGAGUAGGACAGAGUGGAACAGAGUGACGUAACAGCCUGCACGAGGGAUAGGUCAGGCCGGUCCUGCAAUAUGCUUAGAACAGGUUACAUGAGAGCCUGCAUAAGGGGUUGGGCUAGGCUGGUCCUGCAGUUAGCUUGAACAGGUCACAAAACAGCCUGUAAUUUGCUUAGUACAAGUCACAUAAGAGCCUGCAUAAGGGGUUAGCUUAGGCUGGUCCUGCAAUUAGCUUGGUCACAUAACAGCCUGCACAUAGCUUAAAGCAGGUCACAUAGCAGCCUGUACAUUUGGUUAGGCUGGUCCUGCAGUUGGCUAAGUAAAACCAGUCACAAAACAGCCAGUAAUUUGCUGAGGACAAGUCACAUAACAGCCUGCACAAGGGAUGAGGCUCGUUCUGCAUUAAGCUAAGUAGAACAGGUCACAGAAUGGCCUGCAACAAUGGUAUAGGCUGGUCCUGUAAUUUGCCUCAAGCAGGUAAUAUGACAGCCUGCAACUAGCUUAGAACAGGUCACAUAACAGCCUGCACAAAGGGUUAGGCUCGUCCUGCAUUAAGCUAAGUAGAACAGGUCACAGAACAGCCUGCAACAAUGGGGCUGGUCCUGUAAUAGCUAUAAUCUGCCAGCACACUUGGUAGUCUGGUAGAGUGGAUUCUGCCAUGACUGGGCUGUUUGGGAGGGCAGGACAGCACCUCCACCACUGCUUGAAGAGUGAGAGGAGAGAGGAAAGUCACACAGAGUAAGGCUGUAAUUCAUUAGCUCUUCACAAGUUCACAAGUGUCUAUACAACUAGUAAGUGAGGGAUUGACCACUGGGAGGAAGUUUAUGGGAGACACAGAUAGACAGACAAACAGCGGAACGAAAAAACAGCUGCUGGGGUUGCGCAAACACUGUGACCUCUUGUGGAUAGAUGCAGCAGCCGUGACCCGACACAUCGCCGACAGAAUAAGACUUACGAAAAUAUAUUCAUUUAUCAAACAAUUCAACAAUGAUAGCUCGGAAAGAGACGAUGGAUACAGGUACGGAGAAAGUGUGGAGACGAACAACAGCUACUAACUCCUACUGUGACUAAACCUUCAGUAUGGAAUAAUUCUUUGAGGUAUAACUCUGGGGUUAACACUUCUAUCACUGGUAAGAAGAAAGCAAAGGCUACAAUCUCUCAUGCUAUCCAGGGUAAUAACUCUUGACUGCUAGCCGCUACGAGAAGUCCCGGAUCGUUACACUGUCUAGCGAAGCCUCGAGGGGCAUUACGUCACUAGCAGAGCCCCAAGAAAGCCGGUAGCAAUGCAGAACAGACUUGCAUUUCUUUAAUAUUCAAUGUAAGCUUUCUAGGAAGUACUUGGAGGCAGCCGUCCACUUACUUACAACUACUGACUGACUGACUGAGUGACUUUGGGAAUGGACUAGCGGUGGACCAUGAUAAACAGCCUCCUUGGACCUACACUUAAGUUUCUUCUUACGACUGAGUUUCAAGACAUUUUUUUUGGUCCACAUAUCUCGAGACACAUCCGUCGUUACGCUCCGAAGGGAAAGCCAACCUGCAGCUACUUAGGGAAAUGAUAUUCACAUUUUUCUCACUCACAAUAAGUUAAUAUUUGCAUAGACGAACAUUGGUAUAUUUUUCCCGUGUGUUGCCACUGUCGCACCAUAACUUGUAACAUUAUGCCUUGCAGUGCCGUAACGUAUAUCGCCAUUCUGUCCUUUCUUCAUUUCCUAUCCAAUUCUGUCUUUUGUUCUUCCUUCCUUCAUUUGUAUAGAAGAAGAAGCACAGAAUAUAUAUGUGUGUAAGCUAUCCCUUCCUUCCUUCCUUCUGCAUUCGUAACUCAGAAGAAGAAAUACCAGACUAUAUUUAAGUUAUCCCUUCCUUCUUUCUUCCUUUCAUUUUUUUUCUUUCCUCAUUCAUUUGUAGUACAGAGGAAGAAACACAGAAUAUAUAUGUGAUCUAUCUCUCCCUCCCUUCCUUCCUUCCUUUCCUUCUUCAUUCAUAGCACAGAGGAAAUACAAAUUACUAUAUAUAUAAGUAAUCCCUUCCUUCCUUCUUCCCUUUCUUUGACAGGGCUGAGGGUUACUAUCAAGUCUCCUAAGCAGACACACUAUUCUGGUAUUACAUGGUGACUCUAUAGCAUGUCGAAAGCUACUCGCCCAUUUGCUAACUCGACAACUUAGAUUUCUAGGUAUAAACAUAACUAGGUAUAAACAUAACAUGAGAUAGAGUUUACCAGCUUAACAUUGCCUCCUAAAUCAAGCCUCGUAAACUGACACACUCCUUUUGAUAUUAAGAAGUGAAUGUCGAAAGCUACUCAGCCAUUUGCUAACUCGACAACUUAGAUUUCUAGGUACAAACAAAACAUGGGAUAGAGUUUACCAGCUUAACAUUGCAUCCUAAAUCAAGCCUCAUAAACUGACGCUCUCCUCUUCAUAUUACGAAGUGCAUUUCGAAAGCUACGCACCCAUUUGCUAACUCGACAACUUAGAUUUCUAGGUACAAACAAAACAUGGGAUAGAGUUUACCAGCUUGACAGUGCCUCCUAAAUCAAGCCUCGUAAAAUGACACACUCAUUUUGAUAUUGCUAAGUGCAUGUCAAAAGCUACAAGCCCAUUUGCAAACUCUCCACAUUAGAUUAACAAUUACAUUAGCUUAGAGUACCAGGUUAACACAUUGGUAUGGACUCACUAGAAGCUUUUAACAUGUCUUUCUUUAAGCUAGGGGCCAUGUAGCACCUUCCCUGUAUUAAGUUAACUGGCCACUCCUUACACACACAGCUUAACGCGACGCCACACACUGAGGCUGAUAAACAACUUGCAUUAUCCUAUCAGCUGGAGGUCACUUAGCACCUUCCCUGUCUUAACUCACACCAGCCUUUCUCUACACAGCCCAGCGCAACGUCACACUGAGAUCUGACAUACACAAGCUCUCAGGCUGAUGACAACUUGCAUACUAACUGUGAAAUGCUAGAUUUGAUGGUAUACUUAUUUCAACAUGCUAAGCUUUACGACUGAACUAACGGUUUAUUUUUACGUACAUGUGGUGGAGGUUAUUGCCGAGACUCGCAUGAUAUGGUCGAAACUUAAUAUUUUGAAGCCUUAUACAUAUUGUCACACCCAAGUUGCUAUUUCACAGAAUCAGUUACCACAUGCAAUAGAGUCUGCCAUCUGGAGUUACAUCACUGGGUCCAUUACACGAGAUGGUUAAAACUCGAUAAAUUUGACAUGGCAGAAAUAUCAAAGCCUUACAUGUUCACACACCCAAGUUGCUAUUUCACAGAGGCAGAAUCAAUCACAACAUGCAAUAUAGUCUGCCCACUGUCACAUCGCUGAGUCCGUCACACGAGAUGGUUAAAACUCGAUAUAUUUGACAUGGCAGCAAAUAUCAAAGCCUAACAUGUUCUCACACCCAAGUUGCUAUUUCAGAGAGGGAGAAUCAAUCACCACAUGCAAUAUAGUCUACCCACUGGAAUUACAUCACUGAGUCUGUCACACGAGAUAGUUAAAACUUGAUAUAUUUGACAUGGCAGCAAAUAAUGAGGCUGUACUUAUUGACGUCUUCACACAUGCAAUAGAAGUCUGCCAUCUGGAGUAUACAAGUGUCUAGUAUAUCUAUAUCCGAUGUAAAGCAGGAUUUCUUUAUACACUUUGAGACUACAAGUGUCGGUUUGCACGCCACUAACAGUGAAGAAGAGGUCCUUUCCACGGCCCCACUCCACGCACUGUAUUAUCAGGGGAAUGUUCGUACUGAUGUAUGUGUACAUUACGUUAGGUUAGGUUAGGUUAGGGCGAUUAUUAAAGAAAUGCAGCUGACAGGAUAGAUAGAACAGACAAGAUACAAAAGCAUGAUUGACCAGACUAUUUAGCACAACACACAACACCUAAGACUUGUAUAUAACCUCUAAAAACGUCAUAUAAAAAGCCCAUAUGGUACGACAAGUCCGUGAGAGACGAACGCCGUGUCUGUCAAGGGGCGAACGUGGCACAGUUUGCGACAAGCCCUAUACGGCCUUCCUGUGGGCUGUGGGCUGUGGGGGGAGGGCUGGGAGUGAGUGCCCAAGGAACAAACAAAGUCCGCCACAACAAACUGAAGGCACUAUAGCAAACAGUAGACUUAGUAUUCCCCAGAACUCGAGCAUUUUUAGGCAGCAACUGAUGGAGCUCUUGAGAAUGACAAGCUUGUUGACUGACUGCAGGGACUCGGAAACCCAGCAAAAUUAGACUUGCCAGGAAGAAAUAACAGCAAAACUUCGGUAAUCUCAAUGUAAGGUCAUCUGGGGCGACGCCUGAUGUAGUUAGCGAGACUGCAUCCGAGAGUCAACCAGUCGGAAACCUCAAUCAGUUGCAGUGGUAGUUAGCAAGACAGCGUAAGCAAGUCAGAAAUGUCGAUCGCCUGCCACAGUACAGAGUGAGCCAGUCGGAAAUGUCGAUCAGUUGUCACCAUGGUAGUUAGCGAGAUAUCUGAGAGUAAGCCAGUUGGAAUGUUGAUCAGUUCCCACGGUAGUUAGCAAGACAGCGUAAGCCAGUUGGAAAUGUUGAUCAGUUGCUGUAGUAGUUAACAAGACUGAGAGAAGCCAGUCAGAAAUGUCAAUCAGUUCCCAUGGUAUUUGGCGAGACUUAAUCUGAGAGUAAGCCAGUCGGAAUGUCAAUCAGCUCCCACGGUAGUUAGCAAGACAGCGUAAGCCAGUCGGAAACGUUGAUCAGUUGCUGUAAUAGUUAACAAGACUGCGAGUAAGCCAGUCAGAAACGUUGAUCAGUUGCUGUAGUAGUUAACAAGACUGAUAGUAAGUCAGUCGGAAACGUCGAUCAGUUGCUGUAAUAGUUAACAAGACUGCGAGUAAGCCAGUCAGAAACACUGGUCAGUUGCUG